CUGCGAAUAUAUUCUCGCUGGAUUGACCUUUUAGUGGUCAGCUCCGGGCUAGACGUUCGCUAGAUUAUCACUAGGCUGUGUCCUCAGUGCUGGCUUCUUGUCUGGUUCUGAUGCUUAAAAGCUAGUUACAGUC